UACAGAGGCCCCAAGCGUUACUGAGAAUCACUGGGUUUAAAGGGUGCGUAGGUGGUCCGUUAAGCUCGUUGUGAAAGCCCUGGGCUCAACCCAGGAACUGCUUCGAAUACUGGCGGACUUGAGGCUAGUAGAGGUCACUGGAACUGACGGUGGAGCGGUGAAAUGCGUAGAUAUCGUCAGGAACGCCAAUGGUGAAGACAGGUGACUGGGCUAGAUCUGACACUGAGGCACGAAAGCGUGGGGAUCAAACGGG
rnacentral:rRNA from 1 species